rnacentral:rRNA from 1 species
GAUGAACGCUGGCGGCGUGCCUAAUACAUGCAAGUCGAGCGAACAGACGAGGAGCUUGCUCCCCUGACGUUAGCGGCGGACGGGUGAGUAACACGUGGAUAACCUACCUAUAAUACUGGGAUAACUUCGGGAAACCGGAGCCACUACUGGAUAAUAUAUUCAACCGCAUGGUUCAAUAGUGAAAGACGGUUUUGCUGUCACUUAUAGAUGGAUCCGCGCCGCAUUAGCUAGUUGGUAAGGUAACGGCUUACCAAGGCGACGAUGCGUAGCCGACCUGAGAGGAUGAUCGGCCACACUGGAACUGAGACACGGUCCAGACUCCUACGGGAGGCAGCAGUAGGGAAUCUUCCGCAAUGGGCGAAAGCCUGACGGAGCAACGCCGCGUGAGUGAUGAAGGUCUUCGGAUCGUAAAGCUCUGUUAUUAGGGAAGAACAAAUGUGGAAGUAACUAUGCACGUCUUGACGGUACCUAAUCAGAAAGCCACGGCUAACUACGUG